ACGCGGGAGGCAGCAGUGGGGAAUAUUGGGCAAUGGGCGCAAGCCUGACCCAGCAACGCCGCGUGAAGGAAGAAGGCUUUCGGGUUGUAAACUUCUUUUACCAGGGACGAAGGAUGUGACGGUACCUGGAGAAAAAGCCACGGCUAACUACGUGCCAGCAGCCGCGGUAAU
rnacentral:rRNA from 1 species